CGUGUAGGCGGCUUGGUAAGUCCGCUGUGAAAGUCCAGGGCUCAACCCUGGAAAGCCAGUGGAAACUGUCAAGCUAGAGUCCGGAAGAGGCGAGUGGAACUCCUGGUGUAGCGGUGAAAUGCGCAGAUAUCAGGAAGAACACCAAUGGCGAAGACAGCUCGCUGGGACGGUACUGACGCUGAGACGCGAAAGCGUGGGGAGCAAACAGGAUUAGAUACCCUGGUAGUCCACGCUGUAAACGAUGGGCACUAGGUGUGGGGGGUGUCGACUCCCUCCGUGCCGACGCUAACGCAUUAAGUGCCCCGCCUGGGGAGUACGGCCGCAAGGCUAAA
rnacentral:rRNA from 1 species